rnacentral:tRNA from 1 species
UGGUGUAGCUCAGUGGUAGAGCACUUGCCUAGCAUGCAAAAAGUCCUGGAUUCAAUCACCCCAGCACCA